UACGUAGGGUGCGAGCGUUGUCCGGAAUUAUUGGGCGUAAAGAGCUUGUAGGCGGUUUGUCGCGUCUGCUGUGAAAAUCCGGGCUCAACCCGGACUUGCAGUGGGUACGGGCAGACUAGAGUGUGGUAGGGGAGACUGGAAUUCCUGGUGUAGCGGUGAAAUGCGCAGAUAUCAGGAGGAACACCGGUGGACGAAGGCGGAUCUCUGGGCCUUACCUGACGCUGAGGCGCGAAAGCUAGGGGAGCGAACAGG
rnacentral:rRNA from 1 species